CCUACGGGAGGCAGCAGUGAGGAAUAUUGGUCAAUGGGCGUAAGCCUGAACCAGCCAAGUCGCGUGAGGGAUGAAGGUUCUAUGGAUCGUAAACCUCUUUUAUCAGGGAAUAAAGUGCGGGACGUGUCCCGUUUUGUAUGUACCUUCUGAAUAAGGAUCGGCUAACUCCGUGCCAGCAGCCGCGGUAAUACGGAGGAUCCGAGCGUUAUCCGGAUUUAUUGGGUUUAAAGGGUGCGUAGGCGGCCGUUUACGUCAGCGGUGAAAGUCUGUGGCUAAACCAUAGAAUUGCCGUUGAAACUGGGAGGCUUGAGUAUGUUGGAGGUAGGCGGAAUGCGUGGGGUAGCGGUGAAAUG
rnacentral:rRNA from 1 species